AUACGUACCUGGCAGAGGAGAUACCAUGAUGAGUAAGGUGGUUCUCCCAGGGUGAGGCCUGUCCCUUGCACUCUGAGCCGGCUGACCCCUGCAAUUUCCCUUAAAGUGGUUCUGCUAGAGUGAGAACUGUC
rnacentral:snRNA from 14 species